rnacentral:rRNA from 1 species
UGGGGAAUAUUGGACAAUGGGCGAAAGCCUGAUCCAGCCAUGCCGCGUGUGUGAAGAAGGUCCUCGGAUUGUAAAGCACUUUAAGUUGGGAGGAAGGGCAGUAAGCGAAUACCUUGCUGUUUUGACGUUACCGACAGAAUAAGCACCGGCUAACUCUGUGCCAGCAGCCGCGGUAAUACAGAGGGUGCAAGCGUUAAUCGGAAUUACUGGGCGUAAAGCGCGCGUAGGUGGUUCGUUAAGUUGAAUGUGAAAGCCCCGGGCUCAACCUGGGAACUGCAUCCAAAACUGGCGAGCUAGAGUAUGGCAGAGGGUGGUGGAAUUUCCUGUGUAGCGGUGAAAUGCGUAGAUAUAGGAAGGAACACCAGUGGCGAAGGCGACCACCUGGGCUCAUACUGACACUGAGGUGCGAAAGCGUGGGGAGCAAACAGG